AGUAACGCGUGGGUAACCUGCCCUGUACAGGGGGAUAACAGUCAGAAAUGACUGCUAAUACCGCAUAAGACCACAGCACCGCAUGGUGCAGGGGUAAAAACUCCGGUGGUACGGGAUGGACUCGCGUCUGAUUAGCUGGUUGGUGAGGUAACGGCUCACCAAGGCGACGAUCAGUAGCCGGCUUGAGAGAGUGUACGGCCACAUUGGGACUGAGACACGGCCCAA
rnacentral:rRNA from 1 species